rnacentral:rRNA from 1 species
UACAGAGGUCUCAAGCGUUGUUCGGAUUCAUUGGGCGUAAAGGGUGCGUAGGCGGCGUCGUAAGUCGGGUGUGAAAUCUCGGGGCUUAACUCCGAAAUUGCAUUCGAUACUGCGGUGCUUGAGGACUGGAGAGGAGACUGGAAUUCACGGUGUAGCAGUGAAAUGCGUAGAUAUCGUGAGGAAGACCAGUGGCGAAGGCGGGUCUCUGGACAGUUCCUGACGCUGGAGGCACGAAGGCCAGGGGAGCAAACGGG